AAACUCAAAGGAAUUGACGGGGCCCGCACAAGCGGUGGAGCAUGUGGUUUAAUUCGACGCAACGCGAAAACCUUACCUGGGCUUGACAUGCCGGAACCCGAUGGAAACAUUGGGGUGCCCCGUAAGGGGAACCCGGACACAGGUGCUGCAUGGCUGUCGUCAGCUCGUGCCGUGAGGUGUUGGGUUAAGUCCCGCAACGAGCGCAACCCUCAUCCUUAGUUGCCAGCAUUUAAGGUGGGCACUCUAAGGAAACUGCCGCAGUUAAUGCGGAGGAAGGUGGGGAUGACGUCAAGUCCUCAUGGCCCUUAUGUCCAGGGCUACGCACGUGCUACAAUGGGCGGUACAAAGGGUCGCGAACCUGUAAGGGGGAGCUAACCCCAGAAAACCGUUCUCAGUUCGGAUUGGAGUCUGCAACCCGACUCCAUGAAGUUGGAAUCGCUAGUAAUCGCGGAUCAGAACGCCGCGGUGAAUACGUUCCCGGGCCUU
rnacentral:rRNA from 1 species